rnacentral:rRNA from 1 species
AGUCGACGGCGCGCGGGGCAACCUGGCGGCGAGUGGCGAACGGGUGAGUAAUAUAUCGGAACGUACCCAGAAGUGGGGGAUAACGUAGCGAAAGUUACGCUAAUACCGCAUACGAUCUACGGAUGAAAGUGGGGGACCUUCGGGCCUCAUGCUUUUGGAGCGGCCGAUAUCUGAUUAGCUAGUUGGUGAGGUAAAGGCUCACCAAGGCGACGAUCAGUAGCUGGUCUGAGAGGACGACCAGCCACACUGGGACUGAGACACGGCCCAGACUCCUACGGGAGGCAGCAGUGGGGAAUUUUGGACAAUGGGCGCAAGCCUGAUCCAGCAAUGCCGCGUGAGUGAAGAAGGCCUUCGGGUUGUAAAGCUCUUUUGUCAGGGAAGAAACGGCUGGGGCUAAUAUCCUCGGCUAAUGACGGUACCUGAAGAAUAAGCACCGGCUAACUACGUGCCAGCAGCCGCGGUAAUACGUAGGGUGCAAGCGUUAAUCGGAAUUACUGGGCGUAAAGCGUGCGCAGGCGGUUUUGUAAGUCUGUCGUGGAAGCCCCGGGCUCAACCUGGGAAUUGCGAUGGAAACUG